UACGGAGGAUUCAAGCGUUAUCCGGAUUUAUUGGGUUUAAAGGGUGCGUAGGCGGUUUGAUAAGUUAGAGGUGAAAUGUUAGGGCUUAACCCUGAAACUGCCUCUAAUACUGUUGAGCUAGAGAGUAGUUGCGGUAGGCGGAAUGUAUGGUGUAGCGGUGAAAUGCUUAGAGAUCAUACAGAACACCGAUUGCGAAGGCAGCAUACCGGCGCCCGACUGACGCUGAAGCACGAAAGCGUGGGUAUCGAACAGG
rnacentral:rRNA from 1 species